CCUACGGGGGGCAGCAGUGGGGAAUAUUGGACAAUGGGGGGAACCCUGAUCCAGCCAUGCCGCGUGUGUGAAGAAGGCCCUCGGGUUGUAAAGCACUUUCAGUGAGGAAGAACGCCUGGUGGUUAAUACCCAUCAGGAAAGACAUCACUCACAGAAGAAGCACCGGCUAACUCCGUGCCAGCAGCCGCGGUAAUACGGAGGGUGCGAGCGUUAAUCGGAAUUACUGGGCGUAAAGCGCGCGUAGGUGGCUUGAUAAGCCGGUUGUGAAAGCCCCGGGCUCAACCUGGGAACGGCAUCCGGAACUGUCAAGCUAGAGUGCAGGAGAGGAAGGUACAAUUCCCGGUGUAGCGGUGAAAUGCGUAGAGAUCGGGAGGAAUACCAGUGGCGAAGGCGGCCUUCUGGACUGACACUGACACUGAGGUGCGAAAGCGUGGGUAGCAAACAGGAUUAGAUACCCGAGUAGUC
rnacentral:rRNA from 1 species